rnacentral:lncRNA from 1 species
CGAUCAAGUGAAUGCUCUCAGAUAAUAAAAUACAUAAAAGUGAAUUAACAUCUACUAAAAUUAAAAACACAAAAAGAUUAGUAUAUAUUAUAGGGAAUGUCUUCUUUUUCCCUUUUGAUAUAAAAGAUUCAUUAAAUAAAUGACUAGUAACAUAAAUAUAAUAUCUUGAAGAGAAAGAGUUACAGGUGUUUUUCUCCACCAAAUUCUUAAAGAAAAUAUUGUCUAAAAGAACUGUCUACUUUGUAAGGCAUUAUAGUUUAAGAUGAAUUAAGAAAAUGCAUA